rnacentral:lncRNA from 1 species
CUUUUUUUCACCUGUGUGGGAAUAGUACCUUCCUCAGUCGUAAGGGCUAACUCUGUGUGGCUGUUUACGUUGUGUUCCGGACUGUUCUGAGUGCCCCACAUAUAUUGACUCAUUUAAUCCUCAUAAUAACGUUUUCACUUUACAGGAAACUUUGAAAAGCACCCCAAAGAACUGAUCAGGGGCCCCAGAUGGCUUCGAGGCUGGAAGGGGAAUGAAUUGCAGCGUUGUAUCCGAAAGAAGAAGAUGGUUGGAAAUCGGAUGUUCAUUGAUGACCUGCACAACCUUAACAAACGCAUCAGCUACCUCUACAAACACUUUAACCGACAUGGAAAGUAUCGCUAGAAGAGAAAGCUGGCAACUGUGGAAGAGGCACAUCAAUCCCCCAGGAGAGGGGGGACAGUACUUUACUUUAUGAAGAAAGGGAUUUGUAGACUCUGUAAUAAAAUGGGGCUCCUUUGGAAUCUGCUGUCCACACACUUUAUUUUCCUCCAGAUGCUGCUUUUACUUGUUACAUAGACUAUGCAUUCUGACCCAUCCCUAAGUCUUAGAGUCUUAGGUUUGGACUUCACCACUUGCCCUUUGCAGUCUAGCCAUACCUGUGGUCUUUAAAAAAGAAAGGUUGUUGUUGGCAUUUUUUGUGGUAGUUUUUAAUUGCCCCAUAGUGCUGUUAUGUUAAUGUGCUUUUAAAAACCUUUCCACACUGGGAUGAAAUGUAAUAGAAAGUGGAAUUGUACUUCUAUACUAUUCUCAUAAAAAACUAUUUAUUGGAUACCUCUUCUGAGCUGAGAACUGUAGGAGAAACAAGAAAGCAUAAUGUAUCCUCCCCAUCUCCCCAUGUGCUUUUCUAGUUAGGGGUAUCAAGUUAUAUUCUCACAUGUGCUUUAAUAUAAGGCAUUAAGUACUAUGUGAGUGGUUCACGUCGGUGGUUCCCAAACCUGACUGGUCGUCAGAAUCAUCUAGGGGGUUUAACAGUUUCACUGGCCUGGGCCCUGCCCCCAAAGAUGUCUAAUCUGUAGAGCUGAGCUGAGUCUUAUGCAUCUAUGCGUGCUUUUUAAAAUAAUUAUAAAAAACCUAUCUAUACAUACAAUAGAAAAUUUAAAAAUUACUAAAGAGUAAUCAGAUGACAAGUUUUCUCAUGGCGUGUUUGAGUUUCUCAGAGGUAACCACUCUUACAAGAUUCUUUUUAAUCCUUCUGGAUGUACACUGGGCAUAUAAAGUUUAUGUUGUCUAUCUGUCAAUCUACUUUAAAAAUGAUUCCAUGCACACUGUUCUGUACCUUUCUUUUUUGCUUAAUAUAAGUUGGAUGUUGUUUCAUAUCCUCACACUAGGUACCAUAAUGAUUUAGCCAGUUCCCUUUUGAUAGAUGUUUAGAUUGUUUCCAG